rnacentral:misc_RNA from 1 species
UUUCAGAGACAUGGAUUUCAGCUUAGAUUCAGAGUUCUUAGCUUCCACGUCCACAGAUGGUGCCGCCAGAAUAUGGAACACAAGGGACGGUGUUCCAGUAACUUUGUCACGAAAUACAGAUGAGAAUAUUGAGCUCUGCAGGUUCUCUAAAGAUGGGACAAAACCGUUUUUGUUCACUACUGUUCAGAAAGGCAAUAAGUCAUUGAUUGCAGUUUGGGACAUCAGUACAUGGAAGAAAAUUGGACAUAAAAGCCUGUAUAAUAAGCCAGCUUCCAUUAUGACAAUCAGUUUGGACGGGAAAUAUCUCGCAUUGGGAAGCAAAGAUGGUGAUGUCUGUGUUAUUGAUGUGACAAAGAUGGAGAUCUCCUCUUUGCACAAGAGGUUGCACUUGGGUACUAAUAUUACUUCUUUGGAGUUUUGUCCCAGUGAAAGGGUGGCUCUUACCACUUCCUCUCAAUGGGGAGUAAUGGUGACCAAGCUAAAUGUCCCAACCGAUUGGAAAGAGUGGCAGAUUUAUCUAUUACUCUUGGGAUUGUUUUUGGCAUCAGCUGUUCUAUUUUACGUGUUCUUCGAGAAUUCUGAUUCUUUCUGGAACUUCCCUGAUCCAUCUACAAGACCAAAGAUUGAGACUCUCCAUGUUGAUGCAACAUCUGAAGAACAAUGGAGUAGCUUUGGACCUUUAGAUUUGUAAGCUGCUCUUGUAGCGUUUUCGUCGGAUUUCAAGAUGGCAGACCUAAGAAAGAUUAUGAAAUAAGUCUUAGCUUUUUGGAGGCAUUUUAACUAGCUUGUUUACUUUCUAACUGAUGAAUGUUAAAAAUAUGAGAGACUAAUAUUUGCCUUUUUUUGGAUGUUUAUUUGAUGCAGCAUACUGUAG